ACGGGUGAGUAACGCGUGGGGAUCUGCCUUAAAGAGGGGGACAACCCGAGGAAACUCGGGCUAAUACCGCAUAAUCUCGAGAGAGAAAAUGGUGGGUAGCAAUACCUGUCGCUUUAAGAGGAACCUGCGUCUGAUUAGCUAGUUGGUGGGGUAAAGGCCUACCAAGGCGAUGAUCGGUAGCUGGUCUGAGAGGAUGAUCAGCCACACUGGGACUGAGACACGGCCCAGACUCCUACGGGAGGCAGCAGUGGGGAAUAUUGGACAAUGGGGGCAACCCUGAUCCAGCAAUACCGCGUGUGUGAAGAAGGCCUUAGGGUUGUAAAGCACUUUAGGCCGGGAGGAAGAUGAUUAGUUUAAGAGAUGAAUCAUUUGACUGUACCGGCAGAAUAAGCACCGGCUAACUCUGUGCCAGCAGCCGCGGUAAUACAGAGGGUGCGAGCGUUAAUCGGAGUUACUGGGCGUAAAGGGCGCGUAGGCGGUCUUAUAAGAUUGAUGUGAAAUCCCUGGGCUUAACCUAGGAACGGCAUCGAUGACUGUGAGACUGGAGUAUUGUAGAGGGUAGUGGAAUUUCCGGU
rnacentral:rRNA from 1 species